rnacentral:rRNA from 1 species
UUAGCGGCGGACGGGUGAGUAACACGUGGGUAACCUGCCUGUAAGACUGGGAUAACAUUCGGAAACGAAUGCUAAUACCGGAUACGCGAUUUGGUCGCAUGACCGAAUCGGGAAAGAUGGAGCAAUCUAUCACUUACAGAUGGACCCGCGGCGCAUUAGCUAGUUGGUGAGGUAACGGCUCACCAAGGCGACGAUGCGUAGCCGACCUGAGAGGGUGAUCGGCCACACUGGGACUGAGACACGGCCCAGACUCCUACGGGAGGCAGCAGUAGGGAAUCUUCCGCAAUGGACGAAAGUCUGACGGAGCAACGCCGCGUGAGUGAUGAAGGUUUUCGGAUCGUAAAGCUCUGUUGCCAGGGAAGAAUGCUUGGGAGAGUAACUGCUUCCCAAGGUGACGGUACCUG